CGGCAAUAGCUCAAGUUUAGAAUCUGUGGCCGUCUCGGUCACCGAAUUGUAAUCUAAAGGGGUUAACAAAAGGGGAAGUUGAGGUAUAAGUUCCUUGGAACAGGACAUCACAGAGGGUGAAAAUCCCGUAUGUAACCUCCGCUGAACCGAAUGUUUUCCUUCUAA
rnacentral:rRNA from 1 species